rnacentral:tRNA from 2 species
UGGGGCGUCGCCAAGCGGUAAGGCAACGGGUUUUGGUCCCGUUAUUCGAAGGUUCGAAUCCUUCCGUCCCAG